AACUUUUUAGUAUAGUUAAGUACCCUCGUCUUCCAAACGAGAAGUCUAGUUUUAUUUAGAGAAGUUA
rnacentral:tRNA from 1 species